rnacentral:rRNA from 1 species
UUGAUCUCAAAUCAGGUAGGACUACCCGCUGAACUUAAGCAUAUCAAUAAGCGGAGGAAAAGAAACUAACAAGGAUUCCCCUAGUAACUGCGAGUGAAGCGGGAAGAGCUCAAAUUUAAAAUCUGGCGUGCCUCCGGUCGUCCGAGUUGUAGUCUGGAGAAGCGUCUUCCGUGUUGGACCGUGUAUAAGUCCCUUGGAACAGGGCGUCAUAGAGGGUGAGAAUCCCGUCUUUGACACGGACUACCAAUGCUCUGUGAUGCGCUCUCAAAGAGUCGAGUUGUUUGGGAAUGCAGCUCAAA